UAAAAAUUUAGUUAAAUCAUAACAUUAGCUUGUCAAGCUAAAAUUAUUAGAAGUAUAAUAAUUUUUAA
rnacentral:tRNA from 1 species